UGGCGGACGGGUGAGUAACGCGUGGAUAACCUGCCGUAUACAGGGGGAUAACACUUAGAAAUAGGUGCUAAUACCGCAUAAGCGCACGGUUCCGCAUGGAACAGUGUGAAAAACUCCGGUGGUAUACGAUGGAUCCGCGUCUGAUUAGCCAGUUGGUGGGGUAACGGCCCACCAAAGCGACGAUCAGUAGCCGGCCUGAGAGGGUGAACGGCCACAUUGGGACUGAGACACGGCCCAAACUCCUACGGGAGGCAGCAG
rnacentral:rRNA from 1 species